AUGGUUGACAAGGGAAAAUGUUGCGAGUCACUUGCAGAAAUAUCGCAUUUAUCUGAGUAGAUUGCAUAAGCAAAUGGACCUGGAAAUUGCUUUUAACUGGAUAAAUGAUUCAGACUCACAUUCCAGAUCCGCUACAAGUGUUGGCACUCAGUACUCAUGCAACAUGUGGCACAAAGGUGUUUCAAAUGGUAGCUAUGGAUUUUCUGGCAAUAGCUCACCUCUCCACUACUUGGAACCCAGACUCUAUGGCAGAAGCUAUGUAAGUGACGAAGAGGGAACUGUUUCAAAGCCUGUGAUAGCAUCCAAAAGAUCUUUAACUACUGAUGAUUCUGAUACCUGGAAGUCCAGGAGAUCACAGACUGAAUUUAGUUAUUCUAGCCCCUCUUGGGAAUCAGAAGUAAACUCCGCAGCAUUUGAUUCUACUUUCCUAUUUAUACCCUCAAGGGAUGAUGAAAAGAAACACUAAGAUAAUGAAGACGAGCGUAGGGAUGAUGAAGACUAGCAAACUUCAUUCAAAAACCAAUAAUGACUAAUGUCCUAGAUAUAAUCCUGUGUGUGUGUAUAAUAACAUGUUAUUAUAGAUAAUUACGACUGAGACCGUAUAUUUUGCACCAGAAUGGGAAUCUGAUGAAUCAAAAUGAUACCAGAAGUCUUCUUACCCAUAAAUGUCAUAUAUUAUACCUUGAUUAGCAUGUGUUCAGGAAUAUGAAUCACGGUGUAUUUUGAGAUGUAUAGCAUGUUUAAAGAACCUGAAACUCUCUUUUUUCGUGUUGUCUUUUUCCUUGUUUUUCCUGUUAAUUCCGACCAGGGAAAGCAACUGCUGAGGAAUUAUAUGUUGACAAUGGGCACAGGGUUCUUUUCUGCCUUUGGCUUUACUGGCUUUAUGAGAAAAAAGAUUGUCGUUUUGCUAGCAUGCCCCUUUCUUGGGUCAAGAGAUGAGUUAAUAGGGCUGCGUGCACAUGCUGUACCAAUGGUGGCUUUAUUUCAUGCUAGUGUUUGUAAUGAACCAUCUAGUGUACUUUCUACUAUUUUGUAUGUUGAUAUUUUUUAGGUAUUUUUUUUCUCUUAACAUUAUGAAUCCUAGGUUGGAUGUACUUGGAGAGUCUGAUGAUGAGGAG
rnacentral:misc_RNA from 1 species